rnacentral:tRNA from 11 species
GCCCGGGUGGUGAAAUCGGUAGACACAAGGGAUUUAAAAUCCCUCGGGGGAAACCCCGUGCCGGUUCAAGUCCGGCCCCGGGCACCA